GAACCGUACGAACGUUAUUCGGAAUCACUGGGCUUAAAGGGUGCGUAGGCGGCGGUGCAAGUUGGGUGUGAAAUCCCUCGGCUCAACCGAGGAACUGCGCUCAAAACUGCGUCGCUUGAGGAAGAUAGAGGUGAGUGGAACUUAGGGUGGAGCGGUGAAAUGCGUUGAUAUCCUAAGGAACACCAGUGGCGAAAGCGACUCACUGGGUCUUCUCUGACGCUGAGGCACGAAAGCUAGGGUAGCGAACGGGAUUAGAUACCCCGGUAGUCCUAGCCGUAAACGAUGAGCACUGGAUUGAAGGGCCCUCCAUAGCCCUCCAGUCGUAGCGAAAGUGUUAAGUGCUCCGCCUGGGGAGUAUGGUCGCAAGGCUG
rnacentral:rRNA from 1 species